GGCUGACCUGAGCACCAACCAAAUGAUUAACAUGAGACUUGGGUUCUUCCCUGUUUAGGUCUAGACUAGAGCAAGCCUUUCCUACCACAACUAUCAGCUGAAAUCUUGGUCCAAGAGGCUAGCAUUGCAGAAGAGGAAAGCUGAGAUCCAGAUACCAGAAAGGAGACAUAAAUACCAGACAUCAAAGUGCCAGAGAAGGGAAGCCAUGUCAAGAACUCAGAAGGAAGAUUUUUAAGCCAGUUAGACACAGGGAUUGCAGUAAAGUAGGCUAUUGAAAAGUAAGGAGGAGAGAAGGGGUGGAGCCCUCGGCCAUUGCCUCCAAUUUCAGCUCUAAUCAUGUCUCAAUUUGAUGAGAUCACUGAUGAAGUAUGUGGACACAUGAAGCAGAGCUGAUAAAUGUAUUCAAAGCAUUUAUUCUACUGAGGUGCAGCCUCUACCCUUCUGAUUGCAUGUUGAACUUUCUUCCCUGAGUGUGUCUUUGGAGCUACAUAUUUAAUAUACCUAAAAUGGGAAAUAACCUCUCCUGUAUUUGUCAGAAAAAAUAACACACGACUUGGAAAUGGACAAAAGCAUACCUAGGGGACCCUCUGUGGAUUAUCUAAUUCUAUAGGAGUGCACAUCUUUUAUUAUCUUUCUGUUGACUGAGUUAUUUUACACUCUGAAAGUGCAGAAGUUGUAGAAAACUGAUAGCUGUGCAGAUGACUCUUCUCCACAGCAGUACAAGGGUAUUUUGUCCCAUAGAAACAUUUGAUCACUAUAAUAUGGAAAAAAAUGUCCCAAGUAAUUCUAUCACCCUUUAUAAUAUAUUAACCAGUUUGUCACUUAUUAGGAAAUUAAUAUCAGCAUUCUUGAUUGACCAUUUUUGGGGUAUGUGUUUAUGUGUGCAUCACCGUUUUUUUUUCCCAUUAAUUAAAAAGUUGAAUAAAAUCUUUAACAUAUGUAUUCUAUAUGUACAGAGAACCAUGUUUUUAACUUAUUAACAAUUAUACUAACAUCCUUAUUAUUAAUAUCUUUACCAUGCUAAACACUUGGAAACACUGAGCUUUCUCAUUCCCUGGCUCUCCUUUGUAAAGUCAAUAGCUAAGUUAAAUACACUUUAAUUCCCAUUCCUGCUAUCAGUGAACCAGUUCAUAUCCCGAAUAUUUUGUACUUCGGCUGAUUGAAUGACCCAGUACUCUCUAAACUGGUCUUCUAAAUUUGUCUCCCUCACUGUCACAACCCAAACACAAAAGCCAAAUCUUUUUCAUCUAAGCUCAGGUCUCAGCUCACACACCUGGUUCAACUUCCUAUCCACUCAUAAAUCAAGCCCCCAAACUUCAUCUCCUUCACUGGAGAUAUCCAAGUCAUCUUCUUAGCCCUGCAUUCACUGACCCCUUGUAUUAAUUUGCCAGGUUGCCCAUAAUAAAGUAACAAAGAUUGGAUGGCUUAAACAACAGAAAUUAAAUUCCCCAUUGUUCUGGAAGGGAGAAGUCCCAGAUCAAGCUGUUGGCAGGGCUGGUUUCUUCUGCGGCCUCUCUCCUUCACAUGUAGAUGACCAUUCUUUUCCUGUAUCUUCACAUGGUUUCCCUUGUGUGUGUCCAUGUCCUAACCUCUCCUUGUAAGGAUACCUGUCAUAUUGAAUUGGGACCCAUCCAUAUGAACUCGUUUUAACCUAAUUCCCACUUUAAAGGCCCUGUCUCCAAACACAGGCACAUUCUGAGGCACUGGGGGUUAAGACUUCAACAUAUGAAUUUGGGAGGAACACAGUUCAGUCCACAACACCCCUACAGGAGGGAAGAAAAUGAAUGUUUGUUGAGUGCCUCCCAUGAAUCAAGCACUGUGUUUUAGGCUUUCACAUAAAUUAAAAAAUGAUUUAUUGGUGUUUUUCUGAACAGAGCCCAACCCAAUUUCUACUUGUGAUACAUCACCUCAUCUAAAAUAUCUCCCUCUGCAAGAAUCCUGGUGUCCUUCUAUCAAAUGCAAUGUCUCUUUACUUUGAAACCUCCCUGGCACUUAAUUUGCCCCGUUUAUGUUACCUUCAAAUAUUACCUGGUUUUGUGAUCAUGUUGUACUCCUGUUUUAAAUAUUAGAUCAUUAAUUUUUUGAAGGCAAGUCUAUUAUUGACUCUUUUAGGACUCUCUUGAGGUAUAUGACUUGUCUAGAAUAAAGAUAUUUGUUAAGAAUUUAAAGGAAUAUGAAAAAAAUUUUGUGGAAGAAGGGAAGGUAGUCAAGGUGUUUUUUGUUUUUUGUUUUUGUUUGUUUGUUUGUUUGUUUUUUUGUAGUUGGGGAGAUGUUUGCCGAAGAAUAAGGCAAGAGAAGAGAAGGAAACACAAAAGAGAAGUUAGAUAACAGCCAUGAUUAUAAAGCUUCUAAGUUAGAGGCCAAUGAUAUACACACUUUUGGAACCUAGACAUUCUAAUACUUUAUCUUUUAAUUGAUGGUAUUCUUAGUAAAUCCUAUUCCACUUAAGUGGUUUCAUGCCUUUGAGCAAUGGAGAACAUUAUGAUUUGUGGAUCAAAGUGAUUUUGAGAUUGAUCCACAUUCCCACUGUAUCACAUUGGUUUGAAAAUCUGAUUUCAGCUAAUUUGUCUCUCACAAUCAGCUGGGGUAUGACUUAGGCUAACUUAUUGUGUUGCAGCAAAUAUAUUCUGUAGUUCAGCCAAUCUGGUCUGGUUUGUGAAGCAUGAAAAGACUUGAAGGUCUCAGCUAAUGUGCAUUACACAUGUCACAUUCCCCAAACUAGGCCUAAGACUUGUGAGGGUGUGAUCCAUAACUCCAUCUACUGCCACCAGACUGUGAUAUUUAUUGCUGUGAAAAUUCCCAUGACAAAUUUGUUUCUGUGGCACAUUUACCACUAUAAAUUGACAGGGAGCCAUAGAUGCGAUGGCUUCAGAUGUAACAGCCCCAGUACUUUAUUAUUUCUUUCAAGUUUUGGACUUAGGCUGCUGGGAAAUUUUUAGAAGUUCCUGUUUCCUUGGAUUAUUUUUAAAAUAACCAGCAAAUCAUUCUUUUAAUAGAAUAUACUAUUAUUCAAACCUUUUCUCAAGUAAAGUUUCAUCUGAUUUCUAAAUUUAACAGUAUGCUCUUAUCUCAAAAUUUUAGUCACCAUCCAUUUAACAUGUAUUUUUUCUCAUUAUUGAAAUAUUCUAGAUGCUUCCUUUUAUGAGAAAUCGGGACUAGACGUAACAAUCUAUACAGGGACUUUGGUGGGGUGAGGGUGUAAAUAUGCUUUCUCAUUAAAGUAAGAUCUUCUAAAUUGAGAAUUGUAGUGUUAGAUUUGUGGCUUCAGUGUGUAUGGGGCUCUGUGCUGUGUCUGAAAGACACAGUGAUGAAUGAGACACUGCCAGCUCUCAGGAAGUUCACAGUCACCUGAGGAAAGACACAAAUAACCAUCUAUGUGAACCACCUAUUCUCAAAUGGGGGUGGUUUUACCCCCCAAGGAUGUAUUGCCAAUUGAGGUGAGGAUUUCCUACAGGCAGUUAGAUGUACACAUAGAAAGAUUUAGUCGGUCACUGGGCUGGAGAUGUAGAGGUGAGCAUCAUAACAUGAGUGUUGUUAAAAUCAAAAGGCUGGGAAAAUUACCCAGUGACAGAGUGUGGACCACCAGGGCACUUGGUUAGGGGCACCUGCGUUAAAAAGGAGAUGCAGAAAGAGGACUCACGAAGGCAUCUGAGAAGAAUAGUACUAUAAUAACAUUAGCAAACAGCUUUUACUACUAUGUGCAAAGAGCUGUGCUAAGCACUUUACUAAUAUUAUUCCUCAUAACUAGCCUAUUUUUUGUCAGCUCUUUUGAGCUGUAUUGAAGGAGGAAUCAACAAUAUCAAACCUUCCGUACAAUGCGGGCUAAAAGUGUCCAUAGAUGUGGCAGUUAGGGAGUCACCGGCAGAUUUGGUGAGAGCAGUAUCUUAGAGUGAUGGAACUGGAAGCUAGAGUCCGGUGGUAGAGGAGCUGCAGGCUGAUGUGGAAGUGGAGAUGAAGAGGAAGGAAAUGUGCACCAAAAGGAAAGGGAAGAAAAUGACAGUGUUUUAACGGACACAGACUAAAGGGAGGGUAUUUUUUUUAGGAUGGAAGAAGGGGAAGAAUUGCAAAUAUUGUUUAUAGACCUUGAGAAAAGAGAUGAAGAUUCCUUGUAGACACUAAGAAAACUGGCAAACUUGACAAGAAAGGACAGGGUAAGAGACUUGAGAGGCGGUGCCUGGGGCCCAGCUGAAAUAGGAUACCACUUUCCCCCAAUCCAGUCCACUGUGGCCCCUUUUUGGAAUCUCUUCCUUCUUAUGGAGUUUGGAUUUAUCUAAACUAUUCUUUCAAGGAGGAACUUUAAGUGUCUCAUUAUCUUCAUUUCUCAGGACACCAGGCUACAAAAUAUAUCACAUGAGUAAUAUACUAUAGUCUGCCUUCUCUGUUCCUACAAAUCUGUUCAGGCAAAAAGUUCAAUGUCCAAAGGAAAAACACUCACUAUAGAAUUACUGUCUGUCCCAGGAGAUGAGGACAACCCAGAGAAGUGUCGUUUAAUUUGCUGAGUCUCUGUGGUCAUCUUACCACAGCAUGUUAAAGUAUAUUGAACAUUUCUUCCAUUAAUAACAAUGCUAAGACAGAAUAAUUUUUCCUUCCCCAAAUAUUUUCUUACUUCUGCAUCUUAGUCUGACCAAAAAUGUGUUUUCUAUACAAUUGCUAGACUCUACCACUUAUUUAACCAUAAAGGUUGAAUGCCUGAAAUGUAAUAGGUCCUAUUUUGUAGGACACAUACCACAUAGUCCUGGCACUGGAAGAGCUCACAGUCUACAAGAAAAACAGAUAGGUAAAUAACCAUUUAGAAUAAACAAGAAUAAGUGCUUUAAUAGAUGUAACAUAUAAAGUGAUUAUGCAAAGCAAUGCAGUAAGUAACUAUAUCUCCUCCCCCGUAGAAGAAGUCUUCUACUCAAAUACUGAAUUACUAAUAUUUUUAAAUGGGCUGUCAAGAAUAGAAACACCCCCUCUCUUUGCCUGAUGGAUUUUUUUCUCCUCUUUCUUUCCUUCUUUUCUCUCUGGUUUUUACCCUGCCACUUCUCUGCAUGGGCUCCUUUUAUAUUCUGAAAUCCCACUUAAGGGACUUUCUCACUGAUUAUAAUGACAUAGGUCUGUUUUCACAGCUGCAAUCUUAAAGUUUCUUAAUAAUGCCAUGUUUUAAACAUUAUUCUGAAAUGCUAGAAGGUUUGAAGGUGCUCAAAAAGUAAACAGUCAGCUCAUACAAAAGAAAGAGAACAGUUGUAAUAUAAAACUUUCAAUAAUUUGUAUAAAAUCAUUGACACUUCAUUGAAAAUCUCAAGCUCUUAAGACAACAAAAUUCUCCCCCAAGGGGAACUAAUUCACUAGACGUGUGUACAUUAGAACCAGAUGAAGGUGAUGCUGUGAAAUUGGAAAGACAAUUCCUGGGCUUAUUAGAAGCUAGAGACCAAGUAUUUCUAUUUCUACUGGAAUCUGUGGAUUUGGUAAGAAUCCUUUUCCCAGCAGAGCACUUUUUGGGAAUUUGCAUUUAGGUUCAUGAUCACCUUUGACAUCUGAGACUCUGAGGACUUGACAUCAUAUACUAUUAUUAUUAUAAACAGAGCUCCCAAGCUGUUAAGCUCAAAUUGCUACUUUGGUGUUAACAAGAAUGGUGCCACAUGGUGAGCAGAUGCUGUUUGUGAAAGUAAAUGAUGCUUUAAGAAUGUUUUACUCUCAAAAGGAAGUAUACUAGCAGAUAUCUUGUAUCGAAACUCUGUGUACAUGCUCAUUUGACCACCAUAAACAAUGUUUAGAGAGUCCAGGUUGUUACUUAAGAAUAAAUCAGGGAGCUCUUGAACAUUUGGAUAGAUAUUUAUAUUCACCUUAGAGCAGGACAGACAUUUUUCUCUAUGUUUAUCCUUUUAAAAAUGUAUGUAUUUCACUUCAGGGCUCGAUAGAUCUUUCAGAUGGUAUCUGAAUAGAGCUUCCUCAGCACAGAGGUGAUUUAUUUUUUCCAAUGAAGGAUUUACUUAAGUCUGCUAUUUAGGCAUUUAACAUUAUUAUAUCUGGGUGUAGAAUUCCUUUACCUUGGACAGACUGAAAAAACUCCCAAGACUAAUUAGGCAAUUUAAAUGGUGAAUAAUGCUAUUUCCCUAUGCAUUUGCUUUGUAAGUUAAAAUGAUGAAGAUUUAAUCUUCUUUUUCACAGUUUCUUUUGUCUGCAAAACUAAAGAUCCACUUUUGUAGAAGAGUUUCUUUUGUUUUGUUUUAGAGAGGGAUUUGACACCUGAAUGGUAGUAGUAAUGAAAUUCUCUGUGGGUUAGGCUUCAAAAAAAAAAUAUUAACAUGAAACUAAUAAAGUAUUAACAAAUAAAUUGAGUUUGUAGUGGUAACCAUUUCCCUAUGUUACAUGUGCUAACUGUAGACUUAUGUAUGAGUAGUUCGAAGCUUUGCUCUGAUCGCUCGUAGCCAUCAAUGCAUUUCUUAAAAAAUAAGACAGCUGGAGGAAACUAUAAUAAAUAAUUUUAUCAGGAUGAAAUUAUGAACCCUUCAGCUACCACAAGAUGUUCUUUUUUUCUCUUCAAGAAAUUUAUUUUCUUUUAUAAGGACUAAAGUUCUAACAUAUUACAAUCUGAAAUUUGAGAUUAAAUAUAAAUACAACUGAAAUAAAAUAAGAAUUUUACUUCCGGGAGUUCCCCUGUGGCACAGUGGGUUAAGAACCUGGUGUUGUCACUGCAACAACCUGGGUUGCUGCUGUGGUGUGAGUUUGAUCCCUGGCCUGGGAACAUCACAUGCUGCAGAUGAG
rnacentral:lncRNA from 1 species